GAUGAACGCUGGCGGCGUGCCUAAUACAUGCAAGUCGAGCGAACAGAUGAGGAGCUUGCUCCUCUGACGUUAGCGGCGGACGGGUGAGUAACACGUGGAUAACCUACCUAUAAGACUGGGAUAACUUCGGGAAACCGGAGCUAAUACCGGAUAAUAUAUUGAACCGCAUGGUUCAAUAGUGAAAGACGGUUUUGCUGUCACUUAUAGAUGGAUCCGCGCCGCAUUAGCUAGUUGGUAAGGUAACGGCUUACCAAGGCAACGAUGCGUAGCCGACCUGAGAGGGUGAUCGGCCACACUGGAACUGAGACACGGUCCAGACUCCUACGGGAGGCAGCAGUAGGGAAUCUUCCGCAAUGGGCGAAAGCCUGACGGAGCAACGCCGCGUGAGUGAUGAAGGGCUUCGGAUCGUAAAACUCUGUUAUUAGGGAAGAACAAAUGUGUAAGUAACUAUGCACGUCUUGACGGUACCUAAUCAGAAAACCACGGCUAACUACGU
rnacentral:rRNA from 1 species